ACAGAGGGUGCAAACGUUGUUCGGAAUUACUGGGCGUAAAGCGUGUGUAGGCGGCUACGCAAGUCGGAUGUGAAAGCCCUGGGCUCAACUCAGGAAGUGCACCCGAUACUGCGCAGCUAGAGUACCGGAGAGGUUGGUAGAAUUCUCGGUGUAGAGGUGAAAUUCGUAGAUAUCGAGAGGAAUACCUGUGGCGAAGGCGGCCAACUGGACGAGUACUGACGCUGAGACACGAAAGCGUGGGGAGCAAACAGGA
rnacentral:rRNA from 1 species